rnacentral:rRNA from 1 species
UACGUAGGGGGCAAGCGUUGUCCGGAUUUAUUGGGCGUAAAGAGCGUGUAGGCGGCCAUACAGGUCCGUUGUGAAAACUCGAGGCUCAACCUCGAGACGUCGAUGGAAACCGUAUGGCUAGAGUCCGGAAGAGGAGAGUGGAAUUCCUGGUGUAGCGGUGAAAUGCGCAGAUAUCAGGAGGAACACCGGUGGCGAAGGCGGGUCUCUGGGCCGAUACUGACGCUGAGGAGCGAAAGCGUGGGGAGCGAACAGG